CUUUGAUUGGUAUGUAAAAUGAAUAAAAAAAUUCUUAAUAAAUAAAACCUGCCUUGCUAUAAAACAUUGACAACUCAACUGUGCAUGGUGGCACACAUCUUUAAUCCCUUUAAUUUGGGAGGCAGGCAAAUCCCUGAGAGUUUGAGGCCAGCCUGGUCUAUGUAGUGAGUUCCAAAACAGCCAUGACUAUAUAGAGAGGCUGUCUUAAAAAUCCAAACAACAACAGCAAUAAUAAUAAUAAUAAUAAUAAUAAUAAUAAUAAUAAUGAUAAUAAAUUGACAACUUACUUGGGCCCACAAGGUAAUGAAAAACAGGAUGAAAGCCUAACAUCUCUGCCUUCAUUUUGCACCUGUCUCCUUACCUUGAGUCACCUCCCUACCUCUCCAUGUAGGCAUGAUAAUCUCUCAGUGAGUGCCUAUCUAAAAACUGGUGCCACAUAACCUCACUCACUCAACUUCAAAACUGAAAUUCACAAACCUAAGAGUAACCGAGGCUUCCCUCAACAACAUUGUACAAUCUUCUCCAGACCCUAAAAGGUAUAUGGAGGGCUCCAGGUAUUGUCCUGAACACAGUUUCCCAGAACAAACCACCCUGCCGUUGAGGGCAGCUAUUCACAUUGCCAUGGGUGCAACCUGGGACAGAAGGACUGGCCUCCUGAGAACCAGCCUGCCCCCUUUUGAGACCACAUCUGCUUAGUGAUGAUUGAGCAACACUGCCUAAUUAUGUAUUCUACUCCUUGCCCCCAGCCCCAGUUCUUCCACUAUUGAAACCCCAAGCUCAUGCCUAUGCUCCAAAAAUGAACUUGGAGUCAUUGGAAGAAGUCAUUCCUCUUCUCGGCACAUUAAAGUCUUCCCCAUCCUUUUCAACUCUUUAGUUGGUGAUGGGGGGAGGGUAAUCAAGCGUAGCCCACUGUGGAUGCCAAAGUAAUGACUUUGUCCUAAAACUCCAGUUCUAUUCUAUAUUUCUUGGUGCAAGCCCAAAACUACUUAUGAAUUUGCUGAGACAAAUAAAAAACAACAAACAAGUUGAAACACAUUUUAGCUACACCUACCAGUGUAUAGGGAAGUGAGAAUAAAGAGAAGCAUACAACAUCGUGGGAAUGUAAUCUGUGGGACACUAGAGCACAUUCUACAAGACAAAAAAAAUACAGUUUUUGUUUUCAAUAAACAUGUGACAAGAAAGAAAUGUGGAGAUGGAGCAGAAGGGAUCUACAGUUUGGGUAUUUUAGUUAAGAUCUAAGAGAUCAACAAUGAGCAGGUGGUUGGUGAACUUCAUUUAGACACUAAAUUAGCGGAGGCUAAAGAUGGAGGCAGAAUCUUUAUGUAACAGAACUGGAAAUUUGAUGAUAAUAAUAAGGAAGUAUUUUAGGGUGAUAAUGGUAUAUUAAUUGUUUUAAUCAAAGACUUCAGGGGCUGGAGAAAUGGCUCAGAGGUUAAGACCACUGACUCUUCUUCCAAGCUACUCAAGUUAGAUUCCCAGCACCCACGUGGUGGCUCAAAACCGUCAGUAACUCCAGUUCCAAGAGAUCUGAUGUCCUUGUCUGCCUUCCUCGAGCACUGCAUGCAUAUUGUGCAGAGGCAUACAUUCAGACAAAAACCCACACAAAUAAAGUAAAUAUAUAAAAAUUAGGGAAAAAACUACUUAGUGCUAGCUGUUGGAAUACCUCUGGAGAAAAUGUAAUAUCUAGGAUUUCAUCAGAAUAUAUGAAUGUGGGAUUGGCCCUGGAAGAUCAAAGAAUAUGUAUUUUUCUUUUCUUUCAUUCCUUUUAUUUUAUUUAUUAUUUAUUGACAGAGUCUUGUAUGUAGCUCAAACUGGCCUUGAAAUCAUGGGCUACCUGCCUUAGCUACCUACAUGCUGAAGUUAGAGGAAUGUGCCACCAUACCUGCCUAAAAACAAUGUUCUUAACAUUUUUACAAAGAAAAUCGGAGUGUCUCACAUUGGGUGUCAUUUAUUAAAUAAGGAAUACAGUGGUUUCAGAAAACCCUUGAUUAAGCAUUCAUUAGUUGACGAGUAAAUUAUAUUGAUGAUUUUAACUUUUUAAACCACUUUCUCCAACCUUCUAGGAAAAAGUUGUAUCAUUCUACUUUACAGUUUAGAAAACUAAGCAUGGACUGGAGAGUCGGCUCAGUGGUCAACAGGACAUCCUGCAUUCGCAGAGAAGCCGAGUUCUGUUCCCAGCUGUUCACAUUUGCCUGACAAAUUUUUUUUGAUACCAGCUGGAAUACUCACAAUGAAGAUUCAUUGAAAAAAAAGAAGUCUCAAACUGCCACUGCUCAGGGGUGUGAAAGAUAAACAUCAACUCAUAGAGAAGUCAUCAGCAUAACAUAGUAACAUAUGGCACAUAGUAACAAAAAGACACUGGUAACAAGCUUUGCAACUGAGGAAAAUACUGCCCUUUGUAUGAAAGCAUGUCCCAAGUAACCACAGACACUUUAAACAAAUGUUAGGAAUUUAGAGUGGGCUGCAACCCAGACAUCCCAGGCAAGGGUGGCUUUCAGAGACAGACAGGGCACUACAGUCUGUCUGUCUCCGCCCAAAUUAGUGUUGCAAUUUAAUUCCCUGUAUAAGCUAGCACCAGGUGGAGCCUGCACAGGGUGAUUACAGCAGCUCUCAUGAAUGGACUGAUCUACUCAUUUGAUUAAUGGGCUGAUGCAUGAGUUGAUAAGUGGAUUAUCUCAAGAAUGGGUCUGCCACUUGGUCUAGGACUCACGGACUGUCUGUCUGUCUCUUACCAGGUGAUACUCUGCACCACUUUGUCACUUUGCCAGCAAGAAGUUCACCACCGGAUAGGCCCCCUCUUUACCUUGGGCCAGAAUUACAAGUAAAAAAUAAACCUGCUUGCUUUCUAACUCAUCCAAAAUGUGUUUUAUGUUUUAGCAACAUAAAACAGACCAGAAUAAGGGAUUGAUCUUCCACAGUGUGACUGGCUGCUGCUUCAAAUGUCUCCUUCUGCCUACAAGGAUCGAAUUAGUCUUAUCUAGAUGGUGCCUGAUCCAACUGCUUUCGUCCAUGUCCUUUACUCUGCCAGACACCAUGAAAUUCAAGAAACCACAUCCUCGAUCUGAUGAAAAGAGACACAGAGCUUACUAUCAGCCUGUACUGAUGGGACUGCAUUCUUAAUUACUGCACUAUCUCUCUGAUUAGCGUCAUAUAACACUAAACUGGAUGGGAGAUAGAAAAGAGCCCUGUCAUUUCCCACAAGGAAAAGGACUAGCAGGAAAAGAACUAAGAAUAACCUGGUUUAUUGGUCUUUAUCUUGCUGAUGAAGGGAACUUUAGUUCAUCUCAAUGCCAGAAGGAGAAAAAUAAGUUUAUUAUGUUUGUAAAUUGCAUAUUCUAUUUGCCUAGUAUGUAUUGAGAAAAUCAUCUCUGUGCCAAUCAUUUUGAGAAAGCCAUUGGAUUUCGAGUGUUUCCAUUUUUCUCUUAUAAAAUAAAAGACCUCCACAGAA